CCGAGACCGGCUAGCGUCCUGUCCAGGGUGUACCCCCCUCGCGCUGGGACGGGACCCUGGAUUGGACGAACUGGGAAUGAAACGGGAGGAUGGGUUCGGUCUCCGUGUUGUGGCAGUCAGUGAGCGGACGUUGAGCAGUGCUCCCUGCAGAAGAAUAGUUGCAGUCGCUCAGUCAAGCAAGCUCUGUCACUUCAGCUGUAUGGUCUAACCCUCCCCCCCCCCGUCUCAGGUACAUAUUGGACCUGUCCAGGGAGCAGGAGACGGGAUUCGCCGAGCGGGUGGCUGACAUCGCCAGGGAGGCGGGGUUUGAACCGGCAGGGCAGAAGAGUGAUGUCAUCGCCACGUUCCGCCUCCGUGACCCCGAGCCCGCGCGCGGGAUGUGAUGGCGGUCGCCUGCUGGGCUCGGACGCCAACCAGGUGGUUCCCCCUUGUUCCCUGGCACGUGUUGGCACAGGGUGGGACUUGAAACCCGCCCCCCCCCGGACUCGGACUGGAACUGGUGGUCUGUCAGUUGAGUGACGGCGCCACUGGGAUCCAAGUGGGCGAUGAGUGCGUGUGCAGUGAGGUGUAGGUGUGUGUCAACACCAGGGGGUGCUCCUCCCUCCUGCCACCUGCCAGCAGAUGAGAAAAGCCAAGCCUGCCUGUUUGAAAGAGUCGCUUCUCGCCUGCUGUUGUAGUGAGCGAGGGUCGGUAUCGUACGUGUACUGCCCCGGCAGUUAAGACCUUGAAUUUCCCCAUUGACGUCUUUCCCAUCGAGCACAGCUGUAACAUCCUGUCCUGUCUCCCUCUCUCCUCUCUCCCAUCUCUCCCUCCCUCUCUCCCUCGUCUCACUCCCUCUCAUCUCUCUCCCUCCCUCUCUCUCUCAUCUCUCUCCCAUCUCUACCUCGUCUCACUCCCUCUUUCAUCUCUCUCCUUCACUCCCUCUCUUCCUCGCUCUCUCGUCUCCCUUGUCUCUCUCCCUCGUCUCACUCCCUCCCUUGUCUCCCUCGUCUCCCUUCUCACUCCCUCUCUCCCUCAUCUCACUCUCUCCCUCCCUCUCCCUCCUUCUCUCUCUCUCAUCUCUCUCCUUCACUCCCUCUCUCUCUCCCUCGCUCUCUCGUCUCACUCCCUCUCUCCUUCACUCCCUCUCCCUCGUCUCUCUCCCUCGCUCUCUUGUCUCACUCCCUCUCCUCUCCCCCUGUGCCCACAGGAGAGGAGUCCACACACUGAAUUUCCUUUUGCCUUUGAACGGACCCCACUGCCCCACCUGGUGGGCACAGGUUUUCAAUAUCCCCUGCUGGAAAAGUGUAGAAUCGAUUUUCUAACACGGCCGGGUUUCAUCCCCCUACGAGCAUGAAAAAACUGGUAAAUAAACAACUCUCUACGGCCCCCGGCCUUCUGUCUCCUGCCCCGGUUUUCAGAGUGGCUCUGGGGUGCCGGCAGACAGCCCGACUGGGGGGGGGGUGUCCGGGUGAGAGGCGCCCACAGAGGAGGGGUCCUGGCGUGUUCCACGCGAACACACCGACACGCCGCAGAGCCCGCGGGCGGGCCCCGUGCUCCUCGAACCCGGCGCCGUGGGCGGCAGAUACAGGCCAGGGAGACGCGGGCGUGAGGAUGACGGAGUUUAAUGCGGAAGAGCGGACAUGAGGGUUACAGGGGGAGCAGG
rnacentral:lncRNA from 1 species